UACGUAGGGUGCAAGCGUUAAUCGGAAUUACUGGGCGUAAAGCGUGCGCAGGCGGUUGUGCAAGUCCGGUGUGAAAUCCCCGGGCUUAACCUGGGAAUGGCAUUGGUGACUGCACGGCUAGAGUGUGUCAGAGGGGGGUAGAAUUCCACGUGUAGCAGUGAAAUGCGUAGAGAUGUGGAGGAAUACCGAUGGCGAAGGCAGCCCCCUGGGAUAACACUGACGCUCAUGCACGAAAGCGUGGGGAGCAAACAGG
rnacentral:rRNA from 1 species